ensembl:rRNA 5S_rRNA 5S ribosomal RNA
GUCUCCAGCCAUACUAUGCUGAACAUGCCUGAUCUUGUCUGAUCUUGGAAACUUCCAGAGUGAGGCCUGGUUAGUACUUGGGUGGGAUACCACCUGGGAAUACUGAGUGCUGUAGGCU